rnacentral:lncRNA from 1 species
AAGCUAAUUGAUUGAGAAAGGCUUGUCUGGCAGGGCCCCUUUUGCGUCCUGCCUGUACAUUCCGAAGUUCUGUGAAAAGAGGCACUAGCGCUCAGCCACGCAAGGCAGGAAAACAGAGGAAGUUUUCGCAUUCUGACUGCAGCCUGAGUUCCCCGGAGCAAGGCUGCUUCUCUCCACCCACUCCUCACCAAGAACUCCUGAACUUGAGAGUGGACGACUUCAAAGCUAGCUCUCACAGACUCACCUGGAAAAGAGUUCAGCUGCGCGUUCAUUGAACCGAGAGGCCAGAUCACCUAUGUGAGGCGGUGGGAACCAUAUGGAGAUUUAUAUUAGAACUUCAGCAAAGUGCACAGCUGCAGCCGGCAGAAGCCAGCUCUCGGGCUGACAGGCAAAUGAACCAGAUCGUGGACGGGGCCUCUGGGUGGCAGCUCCGGCCUUUUGGUUGUUGGACAACUAUAGUCAGAACUGAAAUGGAACAGGGGCAGGAGAAAUAACACACUUUUACUCCACGCAACUGUUGCUUUCACAUGAUCUUCAGGAAUGUAACUGGGAUAAUUGUCCAAAUUGAAUCCCAUACCCUGUCAUGGUACUGAUUAUUAAGGUGACUAUAUGAAAGGAUCACUCCAAAAUAACACAUACCAGAAUAGGAGUCCUGUCUUAACUGAGCAAUAUACACUAUGGAGAGAUCCUUCAAAACCCGUCGGGACGAAUAACAGAUGAAUUCAUAAAACUGUUCAUCUCUGUUAUCCUGAAUGGUCACUCAGACAACAUUUUACUCAACUAUAAAGGGGAACACUUAAAGUGCAUAUGAGAAGAGAAGAGAAUGACCACAGGAGAAAAUCAUCUCAGGCCACGAUUUCCUAACCAGAAUCUGUAAGAGAGAUUCCAAGAACUUGGGAGAAGCAUAUUGUGUGAUGUUCUAUAUUUAUGAGACCCAUAGCAAACUGUGAAGAGAUAACAGAAUGCUUUUUGCGUGAGCUGAAACAGUAGAUGAAAUCUUUCAUUAAAAUUACUCAUACUUUGGGUCCUAUUCUUAUUUAUAAAUAAAUAUUAUUGCAAACAUUUUU